UGGGGAAUUUUGGACAAUGGGCGCAAGCCUGAUCCAGCAAUGCCGCGUGCAGGAUGAAGGCCUUCGGGUUGUAAACUGCUUUUGUACGGAGCGAAAAGGUCUGCCCUAAUACGGUGGGCUCAUGACGGUACCGUAAGAAUAAGCACCGGCUAACUACGUGCCAGCAGCCGCGGUAAUACGUAGGGUGCGAGCGUUAAUCGGAAUUACUGGGCGUAAAGCGUGCGCAGGCGGUUAUAUAAGACAGGUGUGAAAUCCCCGGGCUCAACCUGGGACCUGCAUUUGUGACUGUAUAGCUAGAGUACAGUAGAGGGGGAUGGAAUUCCGCGUGUAGCAGUGAAAUGCGUAGAUAUGCGGAGGAACACCGAUGGCGAAGGCAAUCCCCUGGACCUGUACUGACGCUCAUGCACGAAAGCGUGGGGAGCAAACA
rnacentral:rRNA from 1 species